rnacentral:rRNA from 1 species
AUUGAGCGCUGGCGGCAUGCUUUACACAUGCAAGUCGAACGGUAACAGGUUAAGCUGACGAGUGGCGAACGGGUGAGUAAUGCAUCGGAACGUGCCCGGUCGUGGGGGAUAACGCAGCGAAAGCUGCGCUAAUACCGCAUACGAUCUAAGGAUGAAAGCGGGGGACCGUAAGGCCUCGCGCGAUCGGAGCGGCCGAUGUCAGAUUAGGUAGUUGGUGGGGUAAAGGCUCACCAAGCCAACGAGCUGUAGCUGGUCUGAGAGGACGACCAGCCACACUGGGACUGAGACACGGCCCAGACUCCUACGGGAGGCAGCAGUGGGGAAUUUUGGACAAUGGGCGAAAGCCUGAUCCAGCAAUGCCGCGUGCAGGAAGAAGGCCUUCGGGUUGUAAACUGCUUUUGUACGGAGCGAAAAGGUCUCCUCUAAUACAGGGGGCUCAUGACGGUACCGUAAGAAUAAGCACCGGCUAACUACGUGCCAGCCGCCGCCGUAA